UUGAACGCUGGCGGCAGGCCUAACACAUGCAAGUCGAGCGGAUGAAAGGAGCUUGCUCCUGGAUUCAGCGGCGGACGGGUGAGUAAUGCCUAGGAAUCUGCCUGGUAGUGGGGGACAACGUUUCGAAAGGAACGCUAAUACCGCAUACGUCCUACGGGAGAAAGCAGGGGACCUUCGGGCCUUGCGCUAUCAGAUGAGCCUAGGUCGGAUUAGCUAGUUGGUGAGGUAAUGGCUCACCAAGGCGACGAUCCGUAACUGGUCUGAGAGGAUGAUCAGUCACACUGGAACUGAGACACGGUCCAGACUCCUACGGGAGGCAGCAGUGGGGAAUAUUGGACAAUGGGCGAAAGCCUGAUCCAGCCAUGCCGCGUGUGUGAAGAAGGUCUUCGGAUUGUAAAGCACUUUAAGUUGGGAGGAAGGGUUGUAGAUUAAUACUCUGCAAUUUUGACGUUACCGACAGAAUAAGCACCGGCUAACUCUGU
rnacentral:rRNA from 1 species